rnacentral:rRNA from 1 species
UAGAGAGAGACAUGCGCGCAUAUCAAUAAGCGGAGGAAAAGAAACUAACAAGGAUUCCCCUAGUAACGGCGAGUGAAGCGGGAAGAGCUCAGAUUUGAAAUCUUAAAGGGUUUCCCUUUACGAAUUGUAGUUUAAAGAAGUGUUUUCUGUUGAGGUUUUGGUAAAAGUUCUUUGGAAUAGGACAUCAUAGAGGGUGAGAAUCCCGUAUUUGACCUUUACUUUCAACUUUGUGAUACACUUUCAAAGAGUCGGAUUGUUUGGGAAUGCAGUCCAAAAUGGGUGGUAAAUUUCAUCUAAAGCUAAAUAUUGGCGAGAGACCGAUAGCGAACAAGUACCGUGAGGGAAAGAUGAAAAGAACUUUGAAAAGAGAGUUAAACAGUACGUGAAAUUGUCAAAAGGGAAGCGUUUGACACCAGUGUUGUUUUUCUGAAAAUCAAUUAAAGAACUGUUUAUGCUAAGCUGUUUAGACUUUAUCAGCUAUCUGUUUAGUUUUGAGCUUUUCUUUAAUGCACUUUUCAGUUAACAAGUCAACAUCAAUUUCUUUUGCUGUAAAAAAGCUUGAGGAAGGUGGCUUGAGAUUCGUCUUAAGUGUUUAUAGCCUCUUGCCUAUGCAGUCGGAGAGAUUGAGGUCUGCAGCGUAGAUCCUUCGGGGCUAAAUGCAUUUGUGCUAAGUUAUAGCAUUUUAUAGACAACUUGUUGACUAUGAUUUGUCUUGUAGCUUACUCGCUUAUGUUAUUUUACCUACGCUUAGGAUGUUGACGCAUGAGAUAUACGC